CUUCAGUGCCAGCUCCCCUUCCCUCUCUCUCUCUCUCUCUCUACAACCACCCUUGAUGCUCUUUGCACUCCCUCACCACGGACGCAUUUUCACAAUUAUUCUGUACAUUUAUUCAUUUAUCUUCCGUUCCACUCAUUUCCUGCUUUAGUUUUUAUUUUCACUUUUCUUUUUUUUGCAACUUGGCCCGACGGUGGAGAGACGCUGGUAGGAGAGGGCUGAAAUGACUGGAAUGACUUCAUUCACCAGUGAUGCAGAGAAGAAAGUUCAUCUCUGGUUUUCUGACGCUGAAAUGAAAGCCAGAUCUGAACGGAGGAGUGAUUGGUAAUGAAAGGAUGUUUGGACAGGGGAGAGAGAGGGGUUUCUCUUUGUCCUGGCUCACACUGAGCUCCACCACAAUCAUGGCCACAAUGAUGACUCACACUUGGUUAUUACAAACAUGCUAAUGAUCAUGUUUUAAUUCUGUUACUGCUUUAGACACAUGAGAUGACACAACACUAAACGCCAGAGAGGAAAGAAAACAUGAAAGUUAGCUGGGAGGAAGUGGAAUGCUUUACAUCUUGUAAAAGAACAAAAAAAGGAAUCUGUUUUCAUUUGAUCCAUGGUUGUACUAAAUUUUCUUUUAUUUUGAAAAUAUUAAAAGGCCUGUGGACCAUAUAGGACCAAAUAAAGUUGAAAA